rnacentral:rRNA from 1 species
AGUCGAACGGCAGCAUGGAGAGCUUGCUCUCUGAUGGCGAGUGGCGAACGGGUGAGUAAUAUAUCGGAACGUGCCCAGUAAUGGGGAAUAACUAAUUGAAAGAUUAGCUAAUACCGCAUACGACCUACGGGUGAAAGCAGGGGAUCUUCGGACCUUGCGUUAUUGGAGCGGCCGAUAUCUGAUUAGCUAGUUGGUAGGGUAAAAGCCUACCAAGGCGACGAUCAGUAGCUGGUCUGAGAGGACGAUCAGCCACACUGGAACUGAGACACGGUCCAGACUCCUACGGGAGGCAGCAGUGGGGAAUUUUGGACAAUGGGGGAAACCCUGAUCCAGCCAUCCCGCGUGAGUGAAGAAGGCCUUCGGGUUGUAAAGCUCUUUCGGAAGUGAAGAAAACUUAUUUCGUAAUAUGUUAUAAGAAUGACGGUAACUUUAGAAGAAGCACCGGCUAACUACGUGCCAGCAGCCGCGGUAAUACGUAGGGUGCGAGCGUUAAUCGGAAUUACUGGGCGUAAAGCGUGCGCAGGCGGUUUUGUAAGUCAGAUGUGAAAUCCCCGAGCUUAACUUGGGAACUGCGUUUGAAACUACAAGACUAGAGUGUGUCAGAGGGGGGUAGAAUUCCACGUGUAGCAGUGAAAUGCGUAGAGAUGUGGAGGAAUAUCAAUGGCGAAGGCAGCCCCCUGGGAUAACACUGACGCUCAUGCACGAAAGCGUGGGGAGCGAACAGGAUUAGAUACCCUGGUAGAAGGGC